rnacentral:rRNA from 1 species
UACGAAGGGGGCUAGCGUUGCUCGGAAUUACUGGGCGUAAAGGGCGCGUAGGCGGCCGGCCAAGUCGGGGGUGAAAGCCUGUGGCUCAACCACAGAAUGGCCCUCGAUACUGGACGGCUCGAGACCGGAAGAGGUUGGUGGAAUUGCGAGUGUAGAGGUGAAAUUCGUAGAUAUUCGCAAGAACACCGGUGGCGAAGGCGGCCAAAGCUGGUCCGGAUC